CAGUAGCCGCGGUAAUACGAAGAGGGCUAGCGUUGCUCGGAAUGACUGGGCGUAAAGGGCGCGUAGGCGGAUUGCGCAGUCAGAUGUGAAAUUCCUGGGCUUAACCUGGGGACUGCAUUUGAGACGCGUAGUCUAGAGUGUGGAAGAGGGUCGUGGAAUUCCCAGUGUAGAGGUGAAAUUCGUAGAUAUUGGGAAGAACACCGGUGGCGAAGGCGGCGACCUGGUUCAUAACUGACGCUGAGGCGCGAAAGCAUGGGGAGCGAACAGGAUUAGAUACCCCUGUAGUCCCUGUCUCUUAUAC
rnacentral:rRNA from 1 species